UGAGUGAAGCAAAAAAAAGAAGACUCACCACAAAAGACUUGAUGUACACUCAGCCGAAAAGGGAACGAUGAAUUCACCUGGAUUUUCACGUAGGCGCUCAUUACGUGAAUUUGGGCUUGACUUACGUGAAUCACGUAGAAGCUAAUAAAAAAUCACAUGAGCAUUACGUGAAAAUUCAUGUAAACAACAAUGCCGAAUUCAGUUCACACACUUUUUAUGUGACGUUCACGUAAAACAACAAUACAAAAGAGUUCAAUAUGGCCACGAUUGAAAUGCCAACAAGAGUUCUUCUAUCUGAUUUAGGAUUUUCAGAGGAAGGUGGAGGUAUUCUACUUCGUAAGUAUUUAUUAUUAUUUUUGUUUUGUUCCAAGUUCACAUUUUUAUUGUUUCCAGAAUGCGGUAUUGGUAUACGCGAGCUAAUCACAGCAUCGGAGGAAUAUCUUCGGAACUGCUUAUUACAAGCAGACGUCAACUGGAACUUCCCGACCAUUUUCCAAGUAAUUGAAGAUUGGCGCUCACGAAACGCUUAAAUCACGGAGCCUGGGGUUGGCCUGGAGCGACCGUAAGAAUGAGAUCGGGAAAAAUCUUCAGAUGCAGAAAGCAACCGGAGGUGGCUGGCAACGUAGAAGAUUCGAAUUCGGGUUCGCCCGGCGGUUCGGGUUUGCCUGCAAUCUUGGCCUGGUCACGUUUGGUUGGGUUUGUAAAACAUCGAAAUGUGCAGUAAAAUCACAAUGUCCGCCGACGAUUCGAUGGUGCUAGAUGUGCCCCGCAACGAAAAUCAUCAGACAGUUGCGAGCGUAUAUCUUGCGAACAAGCUGAUAGCCAAUCAACACAUUUGCCAGUUCGGUCACUUUGAUCUUCCCAAGGCCUGAGAGUUUUGGUGCAGCAUCCCGUACAAAUGCCAGCAAGCGGCGGAAGCUACUCUGUUCCGCGGAAAUGUUUUUCUUCUGAACUGACGAUGUGAUUGAGGGUGGAGGUAUCAAUGGUAACAGCAUCGAUGGUUAUUGAAUCCUAUAUAAAGAAACGAAUUUCGAAGAAGUUCACAAAUUUUCGGUGGUUUCCCCACACAAUAAGUCAUCUCUUUAAUUUGUUCCUUUGAAGAUGAUGGCACCGAUCGGUAUCGAGUUCUGGAUGUGCGAGAUAAAUACGCGCGUUCGAUAACCGCAUCAGAAAAAAACAGCAAUGUCCGUUGUGGCCAGUGUGCUU